UUUUCUUAAAGUCACAAUCUCACCAUAAAGACAGCCACUGAAACAUGUUGAUGUAUUCCUUUUUAAUCCAAGAGCAUCUUUUUUAAAACCAAGAAAUUAAAACCAAAAAUAGAGGCCUAUAAGUCCACAAUGCAUGAGAGAUUGCAUGUAAAUUAGAAGGCAAGAAAAAGAGAGCAAGAUCUAGAGUGAGAGAAAGAGAGAAGGAUCUAUCUGGGCCAGGUAUUUUAAACUUCAAAACAUACACCUCCACUAUCUUUUCCCCAAUUGUCAUUCCUCCACUUAUACUUGCCUUUUUUAGGAAGGCCACCACCAUCUAUCUGGUAAUGUAAUCAGAUGCAUCCAUCUAUUGUCAGAGUAAUCCUAAAAGUCUAAUUUCAUCAUUCCUAUGAUUGAAAUCCUUCAAUAACUCCCCAUAGAUUUUGAGAUCAAGUGUAUCUUCUUAUUUUAGCAUCAUCUUCAUCUAGCUCCCACCCAUCUUACUAGCUUGAAUUGCCUUCCUGUUACACAGUUCUCCACUCCAGCUAUAUUUAAAAAUCUGUAGUUCCACAAAGGUGUAGCAGUGUGCUCCAAUCAUCUCUUUCUCUCUACAUGCUCUUUUCUCUCUCUAGAAUGCCAUUCAUUAGCCACCUCCACCUUUUCUGUUUAAUUGCUUCUCAAAAACUCAAGGGUUCUGGAUGCUCCAAUCUAUUCUGUUCCCCCACUGUACCAUGUAUAUAUCUCUAAUAUAGCAUUGGUCAUGGCAUCCUGGAAUUAUUGGUGUUUUUACCUCUUAUUCAACUCAACCAAGAGCUCCUUGAUGAUCUUGAGACUCCUGCUUCUAUCGCAGUGUACCCAAUAUAUAGUAGAUGUUAUAAGGUUGAGGGAAUUUAUAUAAAUUAGUAGAUAAAAGGACUGGUGAGGUUUUUUCAUUAUUAGAAUCUUCAGGGAACAUAUUUAGAAAUUGUAGCAAAUGUUGCUUACUCAAUAGCAAUCUCCUCUUAUUAUUAUUAUUAAAAUUCAAGUUUCAAUGUAGCAGUGUACCCCAGGGGAUGUAUCUUAACAGAUCCAAGACAAUCAUGGCAUCCCCAUUCCCCUUUGCCAAUAAUACAUUUCAGCUGAGUAUAAUAGGGCAUAGAGCAUAGCUGCAGAGGCAUCAAGGAGAGGUCUCGUUACUUUCUCUUCUUAUCUCCCUUCCUGCUAUAUGUACUCUUCUGUACAAUUGGUGUAACUGUCCUGUAAUCAUGAGGCAGCAGGCUUGAGAACAAAAAAUAACAUGCUGAGAAUUGUGGAGGGGGAGAGACAAGGAGUCUGGGUCUUUGAUAAGAUCAUUGAGCCUCACCAAUCCUAAAUUGCCUAUCACAUACAGAUCUCCUUUUAUGUAAGAUAAUUGAAAUGGCCUUAUUGUUUAAAGAGCUCUGGACAUUUUGAAAGUUUCCCUUUAAGGUAUGAUAAGAGGGACAGUGGCUCAGUGGUGAGCGUCUUCUGCCUUUGGCUCGGGGUGUGAUCCUGGGUCCUGGGAUGGAGUCCCACAUCAGGCUUCCCAACGGGGAGCCUGCUUCUCCCUUUGCCUAUGUCUCUGCCUCUCUGUGUCUCUCAUUAAUAAAUAAAUAAAAUAUUUAAAAAAUAAAUUAUGGGAAUGUAGAAUAAUGCAUUGGGUAGCAUGGAAAAGCUCUUUAAGACCAUUUCUGAUGAAGUUUGAGUCAUCUCUGGUCCAACUCAAUAUGGGAUUUUUUUUCUGUUCCUAUUUUUAAAUAUAUGUAAGAGACUGUGAUCUGAGGUAGCUUCAAAAACAUGUAUAAUUUGGAACAGAAAAAUAACAUAUAGACACUUAAAAAUCAGGAAAAGAAUAAAAAGACCAGUAGACAUGUGGAAUAAAGAUGUGCAAACUAUCAGGUCCUACAUAAUUAGAGGUAAGUUGCAAAAUUGAAAUUAUUAGGGGUCAAAUCAGAAAGAGUCAACAAUUACGUGAUUCAUAUUUUCUUUAAUAAGAAAACAUAAUAGUUUCAAGAAAAGGAAAGCUUUGCUUUAAGAAACAACCAUGGUGUAGGGGCACCUGGGUGGCUCAGUGGUUGAGCACCUUGCCUCAGGUCAUGAUCCCAGGGUCCUGGGAUUGAGUCCUGCACCAGGCUCCUCACAGAAAACCUACUUCUCCAACUGCCUGUGUCUCUGCUUCUCUCUUUGUGCCUCUCAUGA
rnacentral:lncRNA from 1 species